AAACGGCCUCUUAACGCCGCGCCGCCGUCUCGGAGGACCGAAGCGAAUAGAAAACGGACGGAACGAGGGGAAGAAAACCGGGUGGGGGACAAAAAAAAAUCCAUUCCGAAUAGCAUCACGAGGCUUAUACUCGUGGCGCAUAGAGGGGCGGCUUAAGUUGUUAACGAUAUCUGCAAAAGCUCUUUUGGCGACGUUAUGCAAAUAGGAAACUAUUAAAACGGUGCCGUGACGACGACGGCGGGGGGGCG